rnacentral:rRNA from 1 species
AGGCCAAUCAAACCGGGAGAUAGCUGGUUCUCCCCGAAAGCUAUUUAGGUAGCGCCUCGUGAAUUCAUCUCCGGGGGUAGAGCACUGUUUCGGCUAGGGGGCCAUCCCGGCUUACCAACCCGAUGCAAACUGCGAAUACCGGAGAAUGUUAUCACGGGAGACACACGGCGGGUGCUAACGUCCGUCGUGAAGAGGGAAACAACCCAGACCGCCAGCUAAGGUCCCAAAGUCAUGGUUAAGUGGGAAACGAUGUGGGAAGGCCCAGACAGCCAGGAUGUUGGCUUAGAAGCAGCCAUCAUUUAAAGAAAGCGUAAUAGCUCACUGGUCGAGUCGGCCUGCGCGGAAGAUGUAACGGGGCUAAACCAUGCACCGAAGCUGCGGCAGCGACACUCAGGUGUUGUUGGGUAGGGGAGCGUUCUGUAAGCCUGCGAAGGUGGCCUGUGAGGGUUGCUGGAGGUAUCAGAAGUGCGAAUGCUGACAUAAGUAACGAUAAAGCGGGUGAAAAGCCCGCUCGCCGGAAGACCAAGGGUUCCUGUCCAACGUUAAUCGGGGCAGGGUGAGUCGACCCCUAAGGCGAGGCCGAAAGGCGUAGUCGAUGGGAAACGGGUUAAUAUUCCCGUACUUGGUGUUACUGCGAAGGGGGGACGGAGAAGGCUAUGUUGGCCGGGCGACGGUUGUCCCGGUUUAAGCGUGUAGGUGUGUGUUCCAGGUAAAUCCGGUUCACUUUAACACUGAGGCGUGACGACGAGGCACUACGGUGCUGAAGCAACAAAUGCCCUGCUUCCAGGAAAAGCCUCUAAGCAUCAGGUAACAUCAAAUCGUACCCCAAACCGACACAGGUGGUCAGGUAGAGAAUACCAAGGCGCUUGAGAGAACUCGGGUGAAGGAACUAGGCAAAAUGGUGCCGUAACUUCGGGAGAAGGCACGCUGACACGUAGGUGAAGUGAUUUACUCAUGGAGCUGAAGUCAGUCGAAGAUACCAGCUGGCUGCAACUGUUUAUUAAAAACACAGCACUGUGCAAACACGAAAGUGGACGUAUACGGUGUGACGCCUGCCCGGUGCCGGAAGGUUAAUUGAUGGGGUCAGCGCAAGCGAAGCUCCUGAUCGAAGCCCCGGUAAACGGCGGCCGUAACUAUAACGGUCCUAAGGUAGCGAAAUUCCUUGUCGGGUAAGUUCCGACCUGCACGAAUGGCGUAAUGAUGGCCAGGCUGUCUCCACCCGAGACUCAGUGAAAUUGAACUCGCUGUGAAGAUGCAGUGUACCCGCGGCAAGACGGAAAGACCCCGUGAACCUUUACUAUAGCUUGACACUGAACAUUGAGCCUUGAUGUGUAGGAUAGGUGGGAGGCUUUGAAGUGUGG